rnacentral:rRNA from 1 species
GACGAACGCUGGCGGCGUGCUUAACACAUGCAAGUCGAACGAAGAGCGAUGGAAGCUUGCUUCUAUCAAUCUUAGUGGCGAACGGGUGAGUAACGCGUAAUCAACCUGCCCUUCAGAGGGGGACAACAGUUGGAAACGACUGCUAAUACCGCAUACGAUCUAAUCUCGGCAUCGAGGAUAGAUGAAAGGUGGCCUCUACAUGUAAGCUAUCACUGAAGGAGGGGAUUGCGUCUGAUUAGCUAGUUGGAGGGGUAACGGCCCACCAAGGCGAUGAUCAGCAGCAGGUCUGAGAGGAUGAACGGCCACAUUGGGACUGAGACACGGCCCAGACUCCUACGGGAGGCAGCAGUGGGGAAUCUUCCGCAAUGGACGAAAGUCUGACGGAGCAACGCCGCGUGAGCGAUGACGGCCUUCGGGUUGUAAAGCUCUGUUAAUCGGGACGAAAGGCCUUCUUGCGAAUAGUGAGAAGGAUUGACGGUACCGGAAGAGAAAGCCACGGCUAACUACGUG